rnacentral:rRNA from 1 species
CAAUAGCGUAUAUUUAAGUUGUUGCAGUUAAAAAGCUCGUAGUUGGAUUUUGGGUCGGGGGCACCGGUCCGCCGUUCCGGUGUGCACUGGUGGCCCCUUCCUUUCUGCCGGGGACGUGCGUCGCACUUAAUUGGGUGGCGUUCGGGGUCGGCGUUGUUACUUUGAAAAAAUUAGAGUGUUCAAAGCAAGCCAUCGCUCUGAAUACAUUAGCAUGGAAUAACAUGAUAGGACUCCGGUCUUAUUUUGUUGGUUUCCGAGACUGGAGUAAUGAUUAAGAGGGACAGUCGGGGGCAUCCGUAUUUCAUUGUCAGAGGUGAAAUUCUUGGAUUUAUGAAAGACGAACUUCUGCGAAAGCAUUUGCCAAGGAUGUUUUCAUUAA